CAACUACUCCCUCUGUCCCAAAUUUCUUGUCUUAGAUUUGUCUAGAUAUGGAUGUAUCUAAUACUAAAAUGUGACUUGAUACAUCUGUAUCUAGACAAAUCUAAGACAAGAAUUUUGGGACGGAGGGAGUAAUAU
rnacentral:pre_miRNA from 1 species